AAUGAUUGUACCUUAAAUCAUUUCCAAUUGUUUAACUGAGCGUUAUGUAUUUUCACAAAAAUUGAUAUGUGAUUUUAUUUUUGUGUCAAUUACUUCUUCAUUUGUUAAAGUAGGAAAUAUUCUUCAAUCUAUCGAUAGGCUGUGAAUGAAGACCUUUAUCUGCGGUGUGCAGAAUUUCCAAGAUGAUCGGUGUUCGUGGAUUGAUUAUUCUCAUCGCUCUUGCAUUAGGGAUCUUCAAUUAUUUCGGCGCCGCAAUCGAGAUUCCCGAGAAGAAAUCUGAAAACGAAUCGCAACUGCGCAUGAGAUCCAAGAGAGCAUUGGCUCUUUUGGUGCCGUUUCAAGAUGUGGAAUCUAGUGGAGAGGAACA
rnacentral:misc_RNA from 1 species